CAUCCAGGUCACAAAUUCGUGCUCUGUCGUGCUGACACGUGUCGCCUUUCCUCUCAAUGCAGCGUUUCAUUAAUGUAUGGUAUCAUGGGCUUUCCGUUUAUUGUAUGUUACUGGUCUUGGAAUCGUGCAAACAUCCGGCCUGGAAAGUGAAAACAGAAACUCUCUCCCCCUAACCCUAAUACAGCUUAAACUAACCCACGAAGAUCGUCUCUCAUCUUCAUGCGGCCGCGGUGACGUUUGCGCUUACUGUAACAGACUUCUUUAUGGAUUCCUCUUUAAUCCUGUUGAUUUAUUCUCCCAUGAUGUGUCUUCGAUGCGUUGAUUAGGUCUGAAAGGCGGUGUGUGUUCAGCAUAAAUAUGUGAGCAAUCCUCAUCUUGGACUCAUCUUUUCUUUCAAUUCUCUGAAAGUAUCUCAAGUUAAGCGAGGCGGCGAGGGUCGACACACUCCUCAUGUACGCCAAGGGUUGACAUCGCCAUUAACGAUCGUCUAACUCUUCGACCCACUCCAACCACGAUUCACAAUUCAAUGCGUUGUUCCUUUCUACAAGGCGGUAGAUCUCCAGCUAUAAGAAGAUAUGUGUUGUUGAUGAGACCGACUGACGAAGCUGUUUUGAUUACCAGUAUCCAGUUUCAAAGGUCUCGGUUACACUAGAACAAGAAGUUCUCACAACGCUUACACAAAUACAUCGAUUUGUGAGAAUAAUCUUACGUCCCAAGUUUUUUAAAACUAUAAACUGAUUCUUCCAAUCGCGUUCCCACGAGAACAAGCCAAGAAUGACUCUGUUAGUUAAAUACUUGGCAAGU